rnacentral:rRNA from 1 species
AUAGCGUAUAUUAAAGUUGUUGCAGUUAAAAAGCUCGUAGUUGAAACUUGGGUCUGGCUAGCGGGUCCGCCUCACCGCGUGCACUUGUCCGGCUGGACCUUUCCUUCUGGAGAACCUCAUGCCCUUCACUGGGUGUGUUGGGGAACCAGGACUUUUACUUUGAAAAAAUUAGAGUGUUCAAAGCAGGCCUUUGCUCGAAUACGUUAGCAUGGAAUAAUAGAAUAGGACGUGCGGUCCUAUUUUGUUGGUUUCUAGGAUCGCCGUAAUGAUUAAUAGGGAUAGUCGGGGGCAUCAGUAUUCAAUUGUCAGAGGUGAAAUUCUUGGAUUUAUGGAAGACUAACUACUG